rnacentral:rRNA from 1 species
UGCGCAGGCGGUUUUUUAAGUCAGCUGUGAAAUCCCCGGGCUCAACCUGGGAAUGGCAGUUGAGACUGGAAGGCUGGAGUGUGUCAGAGGGGGGUAGAAUUCCACGUGUAGCAGUGAAAUGCGUAGAGAUGUGGAGGAAUACCGAUGGCGAAGGCAGCCCCCUGGGAUAACACUGACGCUCAUGCACGAAAGCGUGGGGAGCAAACAGGAUUAGAUACCCUGGUAGUCCACGCCCUAAACGAUGUCAACUAGUUGUCGGGACUUAAUUGUCUUGGUAACGCAGCUAACGCGUGAAGUUGACCGCCUGGGGAGUACGGUCGCAAGAUUAAA